rnacentral:rRNA from 1 species
CCUACGGGUGGCAGCAGUCGAGAAUCAUUCACAAUGGGGGAAACCCUGAUGGUGCGACGCCGCGUGGGGGAAUGAAGGUCUUCGGAUUGUAAACCCCUGUCAUGUGGGAGCAAAUUAAAAAGAUAGUACCACACGAGGGAGAGACGGCUAACUCGGUGCCAGCAGCCGCGGUAAUACAGCGGUCUCAAGCGUUGUUCGGAAUCACUGGGCGUAAAGCGUGCGUAGGCUGUUUCGUAAGUCGUGUGUGAAAGGCGCGGGCUCAACCCGCGGACGGCACAUGAUACUGGGAGACUAGAGUAAUGGAGGGGGAGCCGGAAUUCGCGGUGUAGCAGUGAAAUGCGUAGAUAUCGAGAGGAACACUCGUGGCGAAGGCGGGUUCCUGGACAUUAACUGACGCUGAGGCACGAAGGCCAGGGUAGCGAAAGGGAUUAGAUACCCGGGUAGUC